GUGGGGAAUAUUGGACAAUGGGGGGAACCCUGAUCCAGCCAUGCCGCGUGUGUGAAGAAGGCCUUUUGGUUGUAAAGCACUUUAAGCGAGGAGGAGGCUACCGAGAUUAAUACUCUUGGAUAGUGGACGUUACUCGCAGAAUAAGCACCGGCUAACUCUGUGCCAGCAGCCGCGGUAAUACAGAGGGUGCAAGCGUUAAUCGGAUUUACUGGGCGUAAAGCGCGCGUAGGUGGCCAAUUAUGUCAAAUGUGAAAUCCCCGAGCUUAACUUGGGAAUUGCAUUCGAUACUGGUUGGCUAGAGUAUGGGAGAGGAUGGUAGAAUUCCAGGUGUAGCGGUGAAAUGCGUAGAGAUCUGGAGGAAUACCGAUGGCGAAGGCAGCCAUCUGGCCUAAUACUGACACUGAGGUGCGAAAGCAUGGGGAGCAAACAGGAUUAGAAACCCGAGUAGUCC
rnacentral:rRNA from 1 species